CCUGCUUUCCAGGCUUGGAAGCAAUCCUUUUACAUGCUAAUUACAAGCCCUUCGGUGUUCGCGAGAGCAGAUCCCUCUGGGAUUUCUAUUUGCCAACAAGUUGCUUAUUUCCAGUUUAAAGGGAGUGAAGGGUCUGUGAAUUAUUGAGCGGCGACGCUGUGUUUUGCCAGUACUGGAUGAGAGAUCGCUUCUCUUCAUCUUCACAGCCAUCGUUGGACCUAAGCGUUGCCCCAGUCAGAACCCGGGAUUGGAAAUCUGGCUCAAGGGGCAGAGCUGGUAGGUCUCGGAGCUGGGAUUCAAAACCGGGCAAGCCCACGCGCCCUCCUCGAGCACAGUAUCAACCUUCCAGCAUAUUAAGUCUGCUUCCUUCUCUCGUAUAUUCCCAAAUUCAGUCUUCUCAGUAUUUCAGAAUGGCCUGUCUCUAGUGCAGAUUAUCUAGCUCUUGUAAACUCUGUUUUCAUUUCAGUAACAAGAAGAAGGAGGCAUUCAGCCAAGAGGCAAGCUGUCCGAGGGGAGGGAGGUUGCAGGUUCGGGCUAAUACAUCAUGCUCUGCGGUGUUUCCUGAGCUCUACCAAUCACUCUGCAAGAAGACGUGAUGGAAAAUCAGUCCCUCUUUGUUGUAUCUUUUUUUUUUCUUUCGGGAAGAUGUGUUUUCAGCACUCGCACGCAGGAGACACAGACUGCCUGUGGCCCCCGGGUGCAGGCCAGAGAGGCGAGGAUCCUGCCUGGGAAGGGUAAUGGAGUGCGAUGCCAAUGCCAGCCCCCGCCUUCCCCUGUGCUGACUUAAGUGUGAAGACCCUCCAUAGCUCCAGCUCACUUCUCCCAGGACAAGGGAAGGACAUCCUCCCACUCCAGCGCUCCUCUGAUGGAACCAUCUGGAACUGUGGCCCAGCGAAGCCCAUGGCCCCAGGAAAACGGUUCUCUGGUGGAACAGAGGAUCACAUAGCAAUGUUGGCCCCAGGGCACCUGAGGGAGGAGGACAGGGACAGGACUGAGAAUGGAGGAGAGGGCAAUUUCCCAGACUAAGAUGGGCUACGAGUUACCCAAAGGAAAAAUAAGAGCAGGAGAC
rnacentral:lncRNA from 1 species